GAUCAUGGCUCAGAACGAACGCUGGUGGCGUGUCUUAUACAUGCAAGUCGAGCGAGGCAGCAAUGCCGAGCGGCGAACGGGUGAGUAACGCGUAAGCAAUCUGCCCCAUAUCAGGAAAUACCCGUGCCAACGCGCGGUUAAUGUCCAGGAGAGUGGCCUUCCGCAUGGAGGGUUGACUAGAGAUUUAUCGGUAUGGGAUGAGCUUGCGUCCGAUUAGCUAGUUGGCGGGCAACGGCCCACCAAGGCGACGAUCGGUAGCCGGCCUGAGAGGGUGAUCGGCCACAUUGGGACUGAGAUACGGCCCAGACUCCUACGGGAGGCAGCAGUAGGGAAUAUUGCACAAUGGGGGAAACCCUGAUGCAGCAACGCCAACGUGUGGGAAGAAGCAUUUCGGUGUGUAAACCACUGUCAUGAGGGAAUAAGGCCCGCCUUCGGACGGGAUUGAAUGUACCUUGAGAGGAAGCACCGGCAAACUUCGUGCCAGCCGCCGC
rnacentral:rRNA from 1 species